GUUGGCAGACAUGGUUUGACAUUCUAGCAAGUCAUUGAAGCAAUUCCUUUGUGAUUUUCCAGGCUUGGGAGCACCUUGGAAAAGCAGACCCUUGCUUUUGGUCAAGAAGGCAGCAAGGCAUCAAAGUCUAGUGGCAGGACAAAAGCUGAAACAAUUUGUGAAUGCUGGAGACACUGGAGAUGGUGGCCAAGUUCUAAGCAUUCCUUGGUGUUUGCUUCAGUCGCAUCCAUGGCUAUUGGAACAAAUUGUUCUCACCAGCUCAUUCUUGGGAAAGGAGGAAUAAGAUACAAAAAAGAUUAGAAAGCUAUCAAAUGACCCAGAGAAGGAAAUGGCAAAUAACUCCAGUAUUUUUGCCAAGAAAACCUCCAAAAUGGAAUCAUAAAGACUUGGAAACUACUGAAAAAUGACUGAAAACCAUUGGAGCAUGGCAUGUAAGAGAUAUUCAAUAAAUACUUGUUGAUUGAUUGGAAGGCA
rnacentral:lncRNA from 1 species